AUUGAACGCUGGCGGCAUGCUUUACACAUGCAAGUCGAACGGCAGCACAGGGAGCUUGCUCCCGGGUGGCGAGUGGCGCACGGGUGAGUAAUACAUCGGAACGUGUCCUGUUGUGGGGGGAUAACUGCUCGAAAGGGUGGCUAAUACCGCAUGAGACCUGAGGGUGAAAGCGGGGGAUCGCAAGACCUCGCGCAAUUGGAGCGGCCGAUGCCCGAUUAGCUAGUUGGUGAGGUAAAGGCUCACCAAGGCGACGAUCGGUAGCUGGUCUGAGAGGACGACCAGCCACACUGGGACUGAGACACGGCCCAGACUCCUACGGGAGGCAGCAGUGGGGAAUAUUGCACAAUGGGGGAAACCCUGAUGCAGCGACGCCGCGUGGAGGAAGAAGGUCUUCGGAUUGUAAACUCCUGUUGUUGAGGAAGAUAAUGACGGUACUCAACAAGGAAGUGACGGCUAACUACGUG
rnacentral:rRNA from 1 species